rnacentral:rRNA from 1 species
AACGAACGCUGGCGGCAGGCCUAACACAUGCAAGUCGAACGCCGUAGCAAUACGGAGUGGCAGACGGGUGAGUAACACGUGGGAACGUACCCUUCGGUUCGGAAUAACUCAGGGAAACUUGAGCUAAUACCGGAUACGUCCGAGAGGAGAAAGAUUUAUUGCCGAGGGAUCGGCCCGCGUCUGAUUAGCUUGUUGGUGAGGUAACGGCUCACCAAGGCGACGAUCAGUAGCUGGUCGAGAGGAUGAUCAGCCACACUGGGACUGAGACACGGCCCAGACUCCUACGGGAGGCAGCAGUGGGGAAUAUUGGACAAUGGGCGAAAGCCUGAUCCAGCAAUGCCGCGUGUGUGAAGAAGGUCUUCGGAUUGUAAAGCACUUUCGG